AUUGAACGCUGGCGGMAGCCCUAACACAUGCAAGUCGAGCGGCAGCACGGGUACUUGUACCUGGUGGCGAGCGGCGGACGGGUGAGUAAUGCCUAGGGAAUCUGCCUGGUAGUGGGGGAUAACGCUCGGAAACGGACGCUAAUACCGCAUACGCCUACGGGAGAAAGCAGGGGACUUCGGGCCUUGCGCUAUCAGAUGAGCCUAGCGUCGGAUUAGCUAGUUGGUGAGGUAAUGGCUCACCAAGGCGACGAUCCGUAACUGGUCUGAGAGGAUGAUCAGUCACACUGGAAUGAGACWWCGGUCCAGACCCUACGGGAGGCAGCAGUGGGGAAUAUUGGACAAUGGGCGAAAGCCUGAUCCAGCCAUGCCGCCGUGUGUGAAGAAGGUCUUAGGGUCGUAAAGCUCUUUUACCCGAGWUGAUAAUGACAGUAUCGGGAGAAUAAGCUCCGGCUAACUCCGUGC
rnacentral:rRNA from 1 species